GCGGACCUCGUCUAAUGGCAAGACCGUAGUUUUCCAAACUACUGAUAGGAGUUCGAAUCUCCUGGCCCGCUCCA
rnacentral:tRNA from 1 species